rnacentral:rRNA from 1 species
AUUGAACGCUGGCGGCAUGCCUUACACAUGCCAGUCGAACGGCAGCACGGGUGCUUGCACCUGGUGGCGAGUGGCGAACGGGUGAGUAAUACAUCGGAACAUGUCCUGUAGUGGGGGAUAGCCCGGCGAAAGCCGGAUUAAUACCGCAUACGAUCUACGGAUGAAAGCGGGGGACCUUCGGGCCUCGCGCUAUAGGGUUGGCCGAUGGCUGAUUAGCUAGUUGGUGGGGUAAAGGCCUACCAAGGCGACGAUCAGUAGCUGGUCUGAGAGGACGACCAGCAACACGGGGCUUGAGAAACGGCCCAGACUCCUACGGGAGGCAGCAGUGGGAAAUUUUGGACAAUGGGCGAAAGCCUGAUCCAGCAAUGCGGCGUGUGUGAAGAAGGCCUUCGGGUUGUAAAGCACUUUUGUCCGGAAAGAAUCCUUGGCCCUAAUACGGUCGGGGGAUGACGGUACCGGAAGAAUAAGCACCGGCUAACUACGUG